rnacentral:tmRNA from 1 species
GGGGGCGACAGGUUUCGACGGGUGCGUUGAAGCGACGACUGCGUGUCGAGGGUCCUUUCUGACCUCGUAAAUCCCGGAUAGGAAAACAAACAAGUGCCGAUGAAAAUUACGCACUCGCAGCCUAAGUAAGGCUACGCGUUCUCCCACCGACUGUCUGCUAGGUGGAUGAGAGCGACGACAGCGGACUGGAUCGAAUACCGGGCCACCGGGUUGCAGAUCGAGAUUCAACAGGAGGCUGGCGUUUAAGUGGUCCGUUUCCGGACAGUUUGAACGUGAGAUUAAAGCGGAAACUACACACGUAGAUGUCGGCGUGAUUCGUAUUCGGACGGGGGUUCGAUUCCCCCCGCCUCCACCA